AUUGAACGCUGGCGGCAGGCCUAACACAUGCAAGUCGAGCGGAUGAAGGGAGCUUGCUCCUGGAUUCAGCGGCGGACGGGUGAGUAAUGCCUAGGAAUCUGCCUGGUAGUGGGGGAUAACGUCCGGAAACGGGCGCUAAUACCGCAUACGUCCUGAGGGAGAAAGUGGGGGAUCUUCGGACCUCACGCUAUCAGAUGAGCCUAGGUCGGAUUAGCUAGUUGGUGGGGUAAAGGCCUACCAAGGCGACGAUCCGUAACUGGUCUGAGAGGAUGAUCAGUCACACUGGAACGGAGACACGGUCCAGACUCCUACGGGAGGCAGCAGUGGGGAAUAUUGGACAAUGGGCGGAAGCCUGGUCCAGCCAUGCCGCGUGUGUGAAGAAGGUCUUCGGAUUGUAAAGCACUUUAAGUUGGGAGGAAGGGCAGUAAGUUAAUACCUUGCUGUUUUGACGUUACCAACAGAAUAAGCACCGGCUAACUUCGUG
rnacentral:rRNA from 1 species